rnacentral:rRNA from 1 species
ACGCACGCUGGCAGCGUGCCUCAUACAUGCCAGUAGCACGCUGCAGGAGGAGCUGCUCUCCGGAUGAGUUGCGAACGGGUGAGUCACGCGUAGGUAACCUGCCUGGUAGCGGGGGAUCACUAUUGGAAACGAUAGCUAUACCGCAUAAGAGUAGAUGUUGCAUGACAUUUGCUUAAAAGGUGCAAUUGCAUCACUACCAGAUGGACCUGCGUUGUAUUAGCUAGUUGGUGGGUGUAACGGCUCACCAAGGCGACGAUACAUAGCCGACCUGAGAGGGUGAUCGGCCUCACUGGGACUGAGACACGGCCCAGACUCCUACGGGAGGCAGCAGUAGGGAAUCUUCGGCAAUGGACGGAAGUCUGACCGAGCAACGCCGCGUGAGUGAAGAAGGUUUUCGGAUCGUAAAGCUCUGUUGUCAAGCUGAAAGAACGAGUGUGAGAGUGGAAGAGUUCACACUGUGACGGUAUCUA